AUCUUCGCUUUGUCAAUGGAUAUAGCCUCUUUGAUGAUUCUUUCGAUCCAUCACCAAAUACAAUAGCUGCAACACUCUGUACCAUCCGUCAACAAAUUUAAUGCACGCAUUAAUGAGUUUUAUUAUACGAUUUUCUAUGUACGAGGAAAGCAGGAGUUUGAGAUUGUUUUACUUUUCUUUAUCGAGGUGUCUGCAAGGCUGCUUAUGAUUACGUAUGCUGAUGGAAUUUCUUCCCUUUGUCAUACUUGGAGAAACUGAUUGCCUUAGAGGUUUUACAUGUGAAUGUUGUUGAUUACCGAGAUGACGAUCUUCAUCAGUUGAUGAGGAUAAUUUGUUUAUGUUGUUGUUAAGUCGAGUCUUUGAUGCAGAAGAAGAUCGACUACUGGUGUUAGCGACAGUCAUCGGGCGUUGAUCUUGAUCAGCUGACAGUGAUUUUGCUGGAUUAUUAUCAUUGAUAGUGCUGUUGUUGUUAUAUCUACUUCCCCUUGAGGCGGAGGGACGAUCUUUCGCUGUACCAGUGCUCCUUAAACUUGAGGAAUAUCCAGAUGAUUGUUGUUGCCAAUUGGGUCUAUCCCUUGACGCAGAAGAAGAACGGGUACUAGUACUACUAGCAGUAGUCAAAUUAGGAGGUGGCGUCCGAUGAAGAUUAUCAUGAAUUCCUUGUCUAGGGAAAUACUUAUUUGAUCUCGAGUUUGCUGAUAAUACUGAAUCUUUUUCGUCCUGGUCACUAGUAUUAUACUCCCUUCGUCCCACCAUUAAAUGAUCUAUUUAUUUUUAGAUUUUGUCCCAUUAUUAAGUGACCUAUAUCACUAAACAAGAGAUAUUUCUAAAAUUAUCUUUUUAAUUGAUUAUAAGAAAUAUGCAUAAUUUGAUAGGCAUGUUUAUAUUCGUUA